rnacentral:rRNA from 1 species
UACGUAGGCAGCAAGCGUUGUUCGGAGUUACUGGGCGUAAAGGGUGUGUAGGCGGUUUUUUAAGUUUGGUGUGAAAUCUCCCGGCUCAACCGGGAGGGUGCGCCGAAUACUGAGGGACUAGAGUGCGGGAGAGGAAAGUGGAAUUCCUGGUGUAGCGGUGAAAUGCGUAGAUAUCAGGAGGAACACCGGUGGUGUAGACGGCUUUCUGGACCGUAACUGACGCUGAGACACGAAAGCGUGGGUAGCAAACAGG